CCCAGCCCCGCCGUUGGGGCGGGGCCGCGGCUCGCGCCUCGUGUCGUCACGCGGCCGUUAGGGAUCCCCGCCCCCCGCCAGGGACCACAUCCCCUGCUCUGCUUUCUGCUCCCUGCCCUGUGCAUCUUGUCUGGCCUUCACCUCUGCUUUCUGCUUCCUUUCGCAGUGCACCCUGCCCCAUCUGCUGCUCUGCUUUCUGCUUCCUUUCCCUGUGCACCCUGUCCCAAACACUGCUCUGCUUUCUGCUCCUUGCCCUGUGCAUCUUGUCUGGCCUUCAGCUCUUUUUUUUACUCCCUUUCCCUGUGCACCCUGUCCCAAACACUGCUUUGCUUUCUGCUCCCUUCCCUGUGCACCCCGCCCCAUCUGCUGCUCUGCUUUCUGCUCUGUCUAUGGUGUGCCCUGCCCAAUCUGCUGCUCUGCUUUCUGCUUCCCGAUCCUGUGCAUCCAGUCCGGCCCACGGCUCUGCUUUCUGCUCCCCACCCAAUCCACUGCUCUGCUUUCUGUUCCAUGCCCAGUCUGCUGUUCUGCUUUCUGCUUCCUUACCUCGUGCGUCCUGUCUGACCCACUGCUCUGCUUUCUGCUUCCCUUCUCUGUGUGAAGGAUCCCUGCUCUUAGCGUGGCUGACCCUCCAGGAUUGCCCUGGCGUCUCCAGGAAUGAGAGAGAAAUCUCUUGGAGGCUGCUGAGAGUGCAAGUCUCUGAGUCUGCGUAAUUUCUAAAUAAGACAACAUUUGAAGAAGAAUUAAACCACAGCAAAACAAAAGACAUAGCCAAUUUGAACGAACGUGGUCAUGACAUGGAUCGGGGAUGUCAAACAUGUUCUGUGGGGUUCCCAGACGGAUCAGGAAUUUGGAGCCUUGUCGGGGGAUGCAUGUUGGUGAUGGGAGCUGAACAACAGAGCCAUGUGCCCAAGUGGGAAAGAGCAGUUUUCUUGGUUCUGUUUGAAUCAUGAAAGUCGAGAUGUUCCAGCAGUAUGUUUCCAACAGCUGUUUGCACAAUCGAGAAGCAAGGAGUCAGAAAAGCAGCAGAGAAAAACCAAGUGAUACCUUUACAAGUGAUGCUUCUAUUAGGAACCAGGGGCUGAGAACGGAGAGAUGCAUGUAUCCUGUGGUUGGGAUGGAGCUCUUCUGAGAGUCUUGAAGUCUAGUGCUUCCUUGAAGAACAGCUGUUCAGAUGGUGUCCUGUACUGUGGGCCCGGAGGACCACAUCAAGACUAUUACAAGUGAAAGUGAAGUCAGACUCUCAGCUGAGGUAAAGUGAACUCUGUGGAGCUACACUAAUAAGCAACAGCUGAGGAUCUGCGUCAACUUUUUAAACUGUCACCCCUGCAAACUGUGCCUUACCCAGCACAUGCAGCACCAAGCCAUAGCUGCUGCCCGAGCCUUGUAGAAAUGCUCUAAAAGCAGCAGGUGAUGCUGCAUCCAUUACAUCUCUGGGCAAUCUGUUCCAGAGGCUUGUUGCCCUCAAUGCAAAAAAUAUUGCACCUCAUUUCUAGUCCAAAUGUUCUAGCUACAGCUUCCAGCUAUUGGUCUCAAUAGGUGUGUCUAUAUGGUGCAAGACAGUGUUAGGCCAGAACUAGAUCUACGUAUGCUAGCUUUGCAAAUAGAAGGCAUACAGAUGCAUCAGUAUAGUACUGCAUCCAGGGUAUUAGGUGACUACUUAGAUUAGGGACAGCACCUUGCUGAUAUGUCUAUACUGCUUCCAGUUCUGAAGCUAACGCAUGUUGGCAUGGCUUAGGUAUUUCUGCAUGGCACUGUCUUGCACUGUGUGGAUUGUAUACCAGCUAGAUGGUUUACAGUGAACCUGGGGUAUCUGCACAGCACUGUGUUUUGCCAUGAAGUCAUACCCAUUACCUCUUUUUUCUAGAUUGAGGAGCUGCCUAUAGAGAUCUCUUUCCCAAGAUGAUAUUUAUAGACCCUAAUCAAAUCACCUCUUCUUUUGGACAAGAUAAAUCAGUUGAGCUUCAUAAAUCUCUGCUCUGUCUCUCUCAAACAGCCAAGUUGUACAAGGAAAGGGGAACAGAAGCAGAUAUGUUUAGUUUGGAGAGAGGGGACAGUAACAGCAGCUUUUAGGCUGCCAUGAAGAAGAGGGAGAACAAUUAACCAUUUUCCCUUGCUACAGAGAGCAAGACACGAGGCAAUGGGUUUAAACUGCAGCAAAGCAGAUUUGGAUGAAAUCUCAGGGAAAACAUCCUUACUGUAAGAUUAGUAGGACAGUGGAAUAAGCUGUCCAGGUAAACCAUGGAAUCUACUUCCUUAGAGGUUUUCAAGAGGCUGGAUAAGCAUCUGGAACGCAGGCAACCUGCCCUGGGAGUGAGCGUCAGGAGCUGAGGUCAGGAACUAGUUAGGAGUCAAAUUAAGGUGAGGAAAUGGAAAAAUGGGCUGAAGAGUCAUGGGUCAGCGUCAGGGCCAGGAAUCCCAAGUCUAGGUCAGGACUGGGGAGGGGGCAAGGUAAAUGCAGAUACCACGGCAGAAGCUGAGGGCUGGGAGCACAGGAAUUAGGACUGGAGCUGGGAGGUAAGAGAAUGCAGGAAACAGGGCGGGAGCAGGAGGCAAAUUCACAGCUGCAGUGAGCAGGGCAGAGCUGCCAGCUCUGCUGGCACUGAGUAGCUGAGGUCCUCCGGGAGGAUGGCCCUUAUACCCUGAGGUCUGGCUUCCUGGAGCCAAUCAGGUGUUCAGGCACAACUGGACCCAAACAGGUGGCUUGUGGCAGGCCUUGGGCUUGGUGUAAGCCAUGGGUAGGCAACGUUUUUGGCCGGAGUGCCGAAAAAAUCACAACGUCUACCUUGUAAGGUGCCAGCAUGUGAGGAAAACAAAACCAGGGUAAGGGGUAUAUGGCAGGAUGUGCUGCAUAUUAAUAUAGUUAAUAAUCAUAAAUGUUGCUUUUUUUAAAACCAUAAAUACCAGGUUUUCUAAAAAUUCUAAACCUGGUGACAAUAAAUAAAACGUCAUAUACUA